rnacentral:rRNA from 1 species
GACGAACGCUGGCGGCGUGCUUAACACAUGCCAGUCGAACGGAAAGGCCCUGCUUUUGUGGGGUGCUCGAGUGGCGAACGGGUGAGUAACACGUGAGUAACCUGCCCUUGACUUUGGGAUAACUUCAGGAAACUGGGGCUAAUACCGGAUAGGAGCUCCUGCUGCAUGGUGGGGGUUGGAAAGUUUCGGCGGUUGGGGAUGGACUCGCGGCUUAUCAGCUUGUUGGUGUGGUAGUUGCUUACCAAGGCUUUGACGGGUAGCCGGCAUGAGAGGGUGACCGGCGACAUUGGGACUGAGAGACGGACCAGAAUGCAACGGGAGGCAGCAGUGGGAAAUAUUGCAGAAUGGGCGGAAGCCUGAUGCAGCAACGCCGCGUGCGGGAUGACGGCCUUCGGGUUGUAAACCGCUUUCGAAUGUGACGAAGCGUGAGUGACGGUAAUGGGUAAAGAAGCACCGGCUAACUACGUG